AUACGUCAUAUAAUUUACAUUUCUAAAAAUUUUUUGUGGAAAAUCCAACCGGGCAUAUAACGUAUAAAAAAUGAAGAGUAUUUAAGACAACGUGAGCUACCAACAAGUCACAGUUUGAAUAUCGAUAACAUCUACAUUGAAACACCACGAUGAAAUUCAUUUCGAUCAUCUUUUUGAUUGUUUUUGCCCUCGUGGCCCUUCAAGAUGAAGCAUUCGCUUGCAUCAAGAACCGUGAUGGUUGCCAGCCAGAUGGAAGUCAAGGGAACUGUUGCUCCGGAUAUUGCCACAAGCAACCUGGAUGGGUUGCUGGUUAUUGCAAAUAAAUAUACUUAAAAUAUCAUCUAAUAAAGUGAAUAUAUUCGAAUAAAUUUUA